rnacentral:rRNA from 1 species
GACGAACGCUGGCGGCGUGCCUAAUACAUGCAAGUUGAGCGCUGAAGGUUGGUACUUGUACCAACUGGAUGAGCAGCGAACGGGUGAGUAACGCGUGGGGAAUCUGCCUUUGAGCGGGGGACAAUAUUUGGAAACGAAUGCUAAUACCGCAUAAAAACUUUAAACACAAGUUUUAAGUUUGAAAGAUGCAAUUGCAUCACUCAAAGAUGAUCCCGCGUUGUAUUAGCUAGUUGGUGAGGUAAAGGCUCACCAAGGCGAUGAUACAUAGCCGACCUGAGAGGGUGAUCGGCCACAUUGGGACUGAGACACGGCCCAAACUCCUACGGGAGGCAGCAGUAGGGAAUCUUCGGCAAUGGACGAAAGUCUGACCGAGCAACGCCGCGUGAGUGAAGAAGGUUUUCGGAUCGUAAAACUCUGUUGGUAGAGAAGAACGUUGGUGAGAGUGGAAAGCUCAUCAAGUGACGGUAACUACCCAGAAAGGGACGGCUAACUACGUG